GACGGAGGAUGCAAGCGUUAUCCGGAAUUAUUGGGCGUAAAGCGUCCGCAGGUGGCUGUUCAAGUCUGCUGUCAAAGCGCAGAGCUUAACUCUGUACAGGCGGUGGAAACCGAAGAGCUAGAGUAUGGUAGGGGUAGAGGGAAUUCCCGGUGUAGCGGUGAAAUGCGUAGAUAUCGGGAAGAACACCAGUGGCGAAAGCGCUCUACUGGGCCAUAACUGACACUGAGGGACGAAAGCUAGGGGAGCGAAAGGG
rnacentral:rRNA from 1 species